CCACAAGGGGUGAAGCCUGCGGUUCAAUUGGAGUCAACGCCAGGAAACUUACCAGGAGAGACAGCAGAUUGAGGGUCAGGCUGAAGACCUUACCUGACGAGCUGAGAGGAGGUGCAUGGCCGUCGCCAGCUCGUGCCGUGAGGCGUCCUGUUAAGUCGGGCAACGAGCGAGACCCCUAUCCGUAAUUGCUAACUGCUCAGAGAUGGGUAGAGGCUAGUUACAGAGACUGCCGCUGCUAAAGCGGAGGAAGGAAGGGGCCACGGCAGGUCAGUAUGCCCCGGAACUCCUGGGCCACACGCGGGCUGCAAUGGUAGGGACAAUAGGUUCCGACCUCGAAAGAGGAAGGCAAUCCCGAAACCCUACCCCAGUUGUGAUCGAGGAUUGAAACCCGUCCUCGUGAAUAUGGAAUCCCUAGUAACCGCGUGUCAUCACCGCGCGGUGAAUACGUCCCUGCUCCUUGC
rnacentral:rRNA from 1 species